rnacentral:rRNA from 2 species
AGACAACUCUCAACAACGGAUAUCUUGGCUCUCGCAACGAUGAAGAACGCAGCGAAAUGCGAUACGUAGUGUGACCUGCACUGUACGUGAAUCAUCGAAUCUUUGAACGCAAAUUGCGCUCGAGGCUUCGGCCGAGAGCAUGUCUGCCUGAGUGUCAGCG